rnacentral:rRNA from 1 species
UGGUGGAGUGAUUUGUCUGGUUAAUUCCGAUAACGAACGAGACCUUAACCUGCUAAAUAGGGGCGGGAAAUUAGUUUCUCGACUCACUUCUUAGAGGGACUUUGCGUGUCUAACGCAAGGAAGUUUGAGGCAAUAACA